rnacentral:rRNA from 1 species
AACGCGAAGAACCUUACCUGGGCUUGAACCGCACAGGACCAGCUUGAGAAAUCAGGCCUUCCCGCAAGGGACCUGUGUAGAGGUGCUGCAUGGCUGUCGUCAGCUCGUGCCGUGAGGUGUUGGGUUAAGUCCCGCAACGAGCGCAACCCUUACUCAUAGUUGCUACCCGCAAGGGAGAACUCUAUGAGGACUGCUCCGGAUAACGGAGAGGAAGGUGGGGAUGAGGUCAAGUCAGCAUGGCCUUUAUGUCCAGGGCUACACACGUGUUACAAUGCGCGCCACAAACCGUCGCAAACCUGCGAAGGGGAGCUAAUCGGAAAAAGCCGGCCUCAGUUCGGAUUGGAGUCUGCAACCCGACUCCAUGAAGCUGGAAUCGCUAGUAAUCGCGGAUCAGCACGCCGCGGUGAAUACGUUCCCGGGCCUUGUACACACCGACGCGUA